rfam:Guillardia theta CCMP2712 unplaced genomic scaffold GTITHscaffold_348, whole genome shotgun sequence.
GGAGGGUCGGUGUAACGGUGUCCACAUCUGUCUUAUAAGCAGAAGAUAAAGGGUUCAACUCCCUUACCCUCUA